GAUGUACGCUGGCGGCGUGCCUAAUACGUGCAAGUCGAGCGAAUGGAUUAAGAGCUUGCUCUUAUGAAGUUAGCGGCGGACGGGUGAGUAACACGUGAGUAACCUGCCCAUAAGACUGGGAUAACUCCGGGAAACCGGGGCUAAUACCGGAUAACAUUUUGAACCGCAUGGUUCGAAAUUGAAAGGCGGCUUCGGCUGUCACUUAUGGAUGGACCCGCGUCGCAUUAGCUAGUUGGUGAGGUAACGGCUCACCAAGGCAACGAUGCGUAGCCGACCUGAGAGGGUGAUCGGCCACACUGGGACUGAGACACGGCCCAGACUCCUACGGGAGGCAGCAGUAGGGAAUCUUCCGCAAUGGACGAAAGUCUGACGGAGCAACGCCGCGUGAGUGAUGAAGGCUUUCGGGUCGUAAAACUCUGUUGUUAGGGAAGAACAAGUGCUAGUUGAAUAAGCUGGCACCUUGACGGUACCUAACCAGAAAGCCACGGCUAACUACGUGCCAGCCGCCGCAGUAA
rnacentral:rRNA from 1 species